rnacentral:rRNA from 1 species
GAGAACGACUCUCGGCAACGGAUAUCUCGGCUCUCGCAUCGAUGAAGAACGUAGCGAAAUGCGAUACUUGGUGUGAAUUGCAGAAUCCCGUGAACCAUCGAGUCUUUGAACGCAAGUUGCGCCCCAAGCCUUCGGGCCGAGGGCACGUCUGCCUGGGUGUCACGC